UACUGUACUUUACAAAUUUUUUCACUUCGUGUACUAAACUAUUUUUUCCAUUACAACAAUAUUGGCAUUUAGCAACAUUUUUCUAGCAACACUUAAGCAUAUGCCACUAUUUAUUUUAUUUAGUAACACACAAAUAAAAGUGUUGCUAAAUAUAUAAAUUUAUCAACAUUAUAUAAUAAAUGUUGCUAAAGGCUAUAAUUACUGGCAUAUAUUAUUAUAUGUCACAAUAAAAAUUAAUAUUUAAAACU
rnacentral:lncRNA from 1 species